AAGGCAGGCCACUUCAG
rnacentral:piRNA from 1 species